rnacentral:rRNA from 1 species
GACGAACGCUGGCGGCGUGCCUAACACAUGCAAGUCGAGCGGGGUUGAAGCGAGGGGUAACUCGAACUUCUACCUAGCGGCGGACGGGUGAGUAACGCGUGGGCAACCUGCCUCAAGGAUCGGGAUAACAGCUCGAAAGGGCUGCUAAUACCGGAUAUGCCUAUGGCCUCGCAUGGGGCUGUGGGCAAAGGGGAAACCCGCCUUGAGAUGGGCCCGCGUCCCAUCAGCUAGUUGGUGAGGUGAAGGCUCACCAAGGCGACGACGGGUAGCCGGCCUGAGAGGGUGACCGGCCACACUGGGACUGAGACACGGCCCAGACUCCUACGGGGGGCAGCAGUGGGGGAUCUUGCACAAUGGGCGAAAGCCUGAUGCAGCGACGCCGCGUGAGCGAAGAAGGCCUUCGGGUUGUAAGACUCUGUCUGGAGGGACGGAAGAAAGUAGACGGUACCUCCGGAGGAAGGCCACGGCUAACUACGUGCAGCAGCCGCGGUAACUAGUAGUCGU